AGAGUUUGAUCAUGGCUCAGGACGAACGCUGGCGGCGUGCUUAACACAUGCAAGUGGUGCGACGAACCAGGGCUUGCCCUGGGGCAAAGCCGCGAACGGGUGAGUAACACGUGAGUAACCUGCCCCGAUGACCGGGACAACCCGAGGAAACUCGGGCUAAUACCGGAUGUGGCGCACAGGUGUAAGCCUGUUCGCUAAAGGAAGCUUCGGCCUCCGCAUUGGGAGGGGCUCGCGGCCCAUUAGCUUGUUGGUGGGGUAACGGCCUACCAAGGCAACGAUGGGUAGCUGGUCUGAGAGGACGAUCAGCCACACUGGGACUGAGACACGGCCCAGACUCCUACGGGAGGCAGCAGUGGGGAAUCUUGCGCAAUGCGCGAAAGCGUGACGCGGCAACGCCGCGUGGGGGAAGACGGCCUUCGGGUUGUAAACCCCUUUCAGGAGGGACGAAGGUUCACCGGUGAAUAGCCGUGUGGAUUGACGGUACCUCCACAAGAAGCUCCGGCUAACUACGUGCCAGCAGCCGCGGUAAUACGUAGGGAGCAAGCGUUGUCCGGAAUCAUUGGGCGUAAAGCGCGCGUAGGUGGCCUCAUAAGUCCGCUGUGAAAGUCAAAGGCUCAACCUUUGAAAGCCGGUGGAUACUGUGGGACUAGAGUACGGAAGAGGCGAGUGGAAUUCCUGGUGUAGCGGUGGAAUGCGCAGAUAUCAGGAGGAACACCAAUAGCGAAGGCAGCUCGCUGGGACGUUACUGACACUGAGGCGCGAAAGCGUGGGGAGCGAACAGGAUUAGAUACCCUAGUAGUCC
rnacentral:rRNA from 1 species